rnacentral:rRNA from 1 species
CAUACGCUCAGUACACGUGAUAAUCUACCCAAAGGUAACUGGGACUAACCCCGGGAAACUGGGGAUAAGACCGGAUAGGGCCAAUACGUCUGAGAAGUGUGUGUUGUGCUGAAAGGUAACGCCUUUGGAUGGGUCUGCGGCGGAUUAGGUAGACGCCCGGUGUAACGUACCGGCGUGCCUGUAAUCCGUACGGGUUGUGGGAGCAAGAGCCCGGAGAUGGAUUCUGAGACACGAAUCCAGGCCCUACGGGGCGCAGCAGGCGCGAAAACUCUACAAUGCAGGCAACUGCGAUAGGGGGACAUCGAGUGGCACCCACCUUGGGUGUCUGUCCAACCAGUCUAAAAAACGGUUGUUAGCAAGGGCCGGGUAAGACCGGUGCCAGCCGCCGCGGUAAUACCGGCGGCUCCGAGUGGUGGCCGAUAUCUAUUGAGUCUAAAGGGUCCGUAGCCGGCUUUGCAAGUCCUCUGGGAAAUCCAGCGGCUUAACCGUUGGGCUUCCAUGGGAAACUACAUUGCUUGGGGACUGGGAGAGGUAGGAGGUACUCGAGGGGUAGGGGUGAAAUCCUGUAAUCCUUCGGGAAGACCACCGGUGGCGAAGGCUGUCCUACCAGAACAGGUCCGACGGUGAGGGACGAAAGCUAGGGGCACGAACCGGAUUAGAUACCCGGGUAGUCCCAGCCGUAAACGAUGCCCGCUAGGUGUUUGGGCGGUCGUGAAUCGCCGUGGUGCCGUAGGGAAGCCGCGAAGCGGGCCACUUGGGAAGUACGGCCGCAAGGCUGAAACUUAAAGGAAUUGGCGGGGGAG